rnacentral:rRNA from 1 species
CCAGACUCCUACGGGAGGCAGCAGUGGGGAAUAUUGGACAAUGGGGGGAACCCUGAUCCAGCGACGCCGCGUGAGUGAAGAAGUAUUUCGGUAUGUAAAGCUCUAUCAGCAGGGAAGAAAGAAAUGACGGUACCUGACUAAGAAGCCCCGGCUAACUACGUGCCAGCAGCCGCGGUAAUACGUAGGGGGCAAGCGUUAUCCGGAUUUACUGGGUGUAAAGGGAGCGCAGGCGGCGCGGUAAGUCUGAUGUGAAAGCCCGGGGCUCAACCCCGGGACUGCAUUGGAAACUGUCGUGCUGGAGUGUCGGAGGGGCAGGUGGAAUUCCUAGUGUAGCGGUGAAAUGCGUAGAUAUUAGGAGGAACACCAGUGGCGAAGGCGGCUUGCUGGACGACAACUGACGUUGAGGCUCGAAAGCGUGGGGAGCGAACAGGAUUAGAUACCCUUGUA